AACGAACGCUGGCGGCAGGCUUAACACAUGCAAGUCGAGCGCCCCGCAAGGGGAGCGGCAGACGGGUGAGUAACGCGUGGGAACGUACCCUUUGCUACGGAAUAGCUCCGGGAAACUGGAAUUAAUACCGUAUGUGCCCUUCGGGGGAAAGAUUUAUCGGCAAGGGAUCGGCCCGCGUUGGAUUAGCUAGUUGGUGGGGUAAAGGCCUACCAAGGCGACGAUCCAUAGCUGGUCUGAGAGGAUGAUCAGCCACAUUGGGACUGAGACACGGCCCAAACUCCUACGGGAGGCAGCAGUGGGGAAUAUUGGACAAUGGGCGCAAGCCCGAUCCAGCCAUGCCGCGUGAGUGAUGAAGGUCUUAGGAUUGUAAAGCUCUUUCACCGAUGAAGAUAAUGACGGUAGUCGGAGAAGAAGCCCCGGCUAACUUCGUGCCAGCAGCCGCAGUAAAAC
rnacentral:rRNA from 1 species